CAGGACCCUUUCCUGGCCACAAGAUCCCUGGCGUCGCCUGCGUUGUAGCCUGGAAACUUCCCACAGGCCAGAGGGCACCAAAACCCCAACUGCUUCACUUUUCUUCCUUAAGGACAACCACGUCAGGAUUUUGGGGGUUCUUGGGACGAUCCUGGAAUGGUGACACUUCCACACUUAAGGUGAGUCUUCCCUCCUCAAUGAAUUGAUUCUA
rnacentral:lncRNA from 1 species